AGUGGAAAUAGUUUCUAUCAAAAUUAAAGUAUUUAGAGAUUUUCCUCAAAUUUCAAAUUAUGCGAAUCCCAUUUUCCGCGAUGCUGCAGCGCGGGGAUUUUACUUGCAGGAUCACACAGAACGCCACGCCGUGUGACUGUGACUCAAGGUCUCUCCUCCCAGCUGCUCCCUCCGGUCCACAAGACAAGGAAGACCCUCGGUUUGCCAAGAUCAGCAGCGCCGAGCGACCAGCCAAGACAGUCACUGAUGCCUGAACCGAGUUCACCGAAGUCACGGAGGCCGGGAGGUCUCAGCAGAGCCCGGGGGCUCCCCACCUCAAGGAUGGCCAAGAAGACACGCCUGGGGGCCGACACGCGGGCCAAGGGUGGCUGCCCUCAGAGCUCAGAUGGGCCCAGGCUCUUGCUAUGGGGCCGGGCUCCCCAGAGCGGGGCUUCCAACUCAGGUGCCCGUGAGCCCCUGGAGACAGCGUGAAGGUGCAGAUUCUGCGUUUCUAACAAGCCCCCGGGUUGGCUGCUGCCUCCGCGGCGCGGUGGGCACAAGGGCCGUGGGCUGGGGCUGGCCUGGGCUGACCCGACACCGACCAGGCCUUGCUGCGCGCCCCUCACACUGCAGCCUGGGAACCUGAGCCGGGAGCUGCGGGCCGCUCUCCCGCAGCUGGGAAGCGGGACUGACCUCCCCUCCCCACCGUCGCCCCUGCGGUGAGAUCCUGCCUGCCUGGGAUCAUGCACCUGUGGUUGGGCUCUGGGAGACAGAAGUGGCCCCACAGCUUGGGCCCCACGCAGUGGACACUGCCACUUAAUUUUGGUGUAAUUGAUGUCAAUUCGGGUACCCAGGCCCCCAGUGAAAUGCCUGAUGAAUUCGCUGCGAUGAACGGUGCUCCACGCCGUGGACGGUGGCCAAUCAGAGCUGCCGCUUCUGAUGGAGGCUGAGCCGGCUGGGGCGGGCGCAGCAGAACCGGCUGGGGAGGCGUCUUGGCCAAGAACCAGCCCCAGCCUCGCUCAGGGCCCCAACCCGCAGACCAUGUAAUUAAGCUGCGUUCUGCAGCCAGGGCAAGAGUCUCAGCUCUGAACAUCUCCCUGUGCCUCUGAGGAGCCAGGCCUGGAAAGCCUCUAAAAUAGAUUUUUCUGCCUCAAGACAGAAGAUGGGUGUUCCAGGCAGAGAAGAGCUGCCUAGUCACCUGCUCUGCUCCACCUGGUCAGAGACCCUUGACCUUUAGAAGACUGGACCUGAGGGCAUGGCUGGUGGACCUGAGGACGUGAAAAGUGGACCUGGCCACCCAGCUAUAGCUUUUUGGGUUCCUGUGUUCCCAUUUCUUGGGUCAAUCUCACACCUGCCUGCUCCCAGGAAGACACCCCCAGGCCCCUCACACUCCUGGGGGCAGCUAGAAUUGGCUUCAGGGUGGAACGAGGGGCGCCAUGGGUGUUUGGAAUCCCAGAUCUGGGACAGGCACCGGCAGCAGGAUUUCAGCCUGGCCUGGACUCUGGUGUGUCCCGUCUGAAGAAACCCCGCCCUGUGAAAGUUCAAGUUUAGCAUCCGAUGACCCAUUUAAGAGGUUUGCUGAGCCACGUCGCAGGAGGGUCUGGGUGCAAACGGAGGUGGCAACACACAGAGCGAGCCUUGAGCACCCAGGUUACCCCCAGGGCCUCCAGUCCAGCCUGGGGGCUCCUGCCGUCCUGUGGAGCAGACCCCUGGGAUCAGGGAUGGGGCUGAGCUGGAGAGUGUGCAGGAUUGAUUAAUAAUGUCUGCCACGGUCAGGGCAACUGCUGUGUUUCUGGGACCUACAAGCUAAAAAUGGUUGGAAAAAAAUCAAAACACUAAUAUUUGUGACAUAUGAGAAUGCUAUGAAAGUCAACUUUGCUAUCCAUAAAUAAAGUUUUAUUGACACA
rnacentral:lncRNA from 1 species